rnacentral:rRNA from 1 species
CCUACGGGUGGCAGCAGUGGGGAAUAUUGCACAAUGGGGGAAACCCUGAUGCAGCGACGCCGCGUGAGUGAAGAAGUAAUUCGUUAUGUAAAGCUCUAUCAGCAGGGAAGAAAAUGACGGUACCUGAGUAAGAAGCCCCGGCUAACUACGUGCCAGCAGCCGCGGUAAUACGUAGGGGGCAAGCGUUAUCCGGAUUUACUGGGUGUAAAGGGAGCGUAGACGGCAGUGCAAGUCUGGAGUGAAAGGCGGGGGCUCAACCUGUGGCCUGCAUUUGAAACUGUAGUUCUUGAGUACUGGAGAGGCAGACGGAAUUCCUAGUGUAGCGGUGAAAUGCGUAGAUAUUAGGAGGAACACCAGUGGCGAAGGCGGUCUGCUGGACAGCAACUGACGCUGAGGCGCGAAAGCGUGGGGAGCAAACAGGAUUAGAUACCCGAGUAGUC